UACAGAGGGUGCGAGCGUUGUUCGGAAUUACUGGGCGUAAAGCGCGCGCAGGCGGCCUUUUAAGUCUUGUGGUGAAAUGCCGGGGCUCAACCCCGUGCCCGCCGGAGAUACUGGGAGGCUGGAGACGAGUAGAGGCAAGCGGAAUUCCGGGUGUAGCGGUGGAAUGCGUAGAGAUCCGGAAGAACACCGGAGGCGAAGGCGGCUUGCUGGGCUCGGUCUGACGCUGAGGCGCGAAAGCGUGGGGAGCGAACAGG
rnacentral:rRNA from 1 species